UACCAGCACCCCGAGUGGUCGGGACGAUUAUUGGGCCUAAAGCGUCCGUAGCCGGUUUUACAAGUCCUCCGUUAAAUCCAACUGCUUAACAGAUGGGCCGCGGAGGAUACUAUAAGACUAGGAGGCAGGAGAGGCAAGCGGUACUCAGUGGGUAGGGGUAAAAUCCGUUGAUCCAUUGAAGACCACCAGUGGCGAAGGCGGCUUGCCAGAAUGCGCUCGACGGUGAGGGAUGAAAGCUGGGGGAGCAAACCGG
rnacentral:rRNA from 1 species